UAAAAUUUAAAUUUUACUUGAAUUUCUUUAUAAUUAAGUGGAAUAUAUAUAUAUAUAUAUAUAUAUUUAUAAAUAUAUAAGUAAUAUAAUAGAUUUGAAAAUUAAGAAAAAAAAGAUAAAAGAGAUUAUUAAAUGAUUGAAAAAACUACUAAUAGAAAAAUGGUUAAAAAAAGAUAAAUUAAGCAUUUAUAAAGAGACCAAAGGGAAACUGUAAAAAAAUAAACUGAGUGAACUGAAACAUCUAAGUAACUUAAGGAAAAGAAAUCAACAGAGAUUUUGUGAGUAUUGGUGAGAGAAAGCAAAAAAGUUUAAAUAAGUAUAUUGUGAAAAUAAUAGAAAAAGGAUAAACUAAUUCAAAAACUAAAUACUAUUAGUAAGUAAGAAUAAGUACCGAAAGGGAAUAUCAAUUUAUUAGUAAUUUUAUAAGCAAUUAAUGAUUAUGUAAAUAUAAUCAAUAAUGUACCUUUUGUAUAAUGGGUCAGCAAGUUAUUAUAAUUAGCAAAAUAUAUUAUCUCUACUAAAGAGGCUAAGAAAAUAUAUUAUAAUGAAGAUGAAAGUAAUUACAAAUAAUGGAAGUUAAUUAUAAUAAACCCGAAAGUAAAUGAUCUUACCAUAAACAGGUGUUAAAACGACCGAACAGGUUAAUGUUGCAAUAUUAUCUGAAGAUUUAUGGUAUGCAGUGAAAGACAAAUCUGAUUUACAAAUAGCUGGUUUUUUGCGAAAUAUAUAUAAGUAUAGCAUUUACAAAUUAUCUAGCCGGUAAAGCAAUUAAUAAUAAUUGGGGUACUAUCAAAGUAUUAUCAAUAUUAUUUAAUCUCAUAAUGGUUACGUAUAAUCCUAAAACUAUAAUGGUGGAGGGGAUAAUGUAAAUAGUCAGACUAUUGGUGAUAAGGUCGAUAGUCAAAAGGAAAACAGUCCAGAUUAAUAGAUAAGGUUCCAAAAUAUAUAUUAAGUGAAAAUGAUAUUUAAGUUUUAUUUUAUUUCAAUUUUAUUAAUGAGAAUAAAAUAUACCAAUGAGCGAACUAUGUUCAAUCAUCGGGGUUAAUAUACAAUUAGUAGAUAGGUUUGAUAGUAACUAUUCUUUAAUAAACGUGUAACAACGUACUAAUCUAUAACUUUUUAACCUUAAAUAGAUAAUAAUCGGAUCUAAAUAUAUUACCGAAUCUUUAAUUAUUAUUAGUAAAUAAUGAUAUUAAUAAUAAGGUAGCAAAACAUUUAAUAAUUACUAUAAUAUAUUAAUUAUAUUAUAUAUAUAUUAAAUAAUAUAUAGAUAUAUUAAAUAUUUAUAUAUUUAUAAAAAAAGAAUUAAAUAGAGAAUGCUGACAUGAGUAACGAAAAAGUGGUUUAAACCACUUCACUUUAUAUCUAAGGUUUUACUAUAAAAUCGGUCCAUAAGAGAUAAUUCUAAAGAGAAUAUUUCGAGAGGUAAUUAAUAUAUGUUAUAUAAAGACUAUUAGAUUAUAUUUAUAAUAACAAUAUUUAAGUUGGGUAUUAUAAAUAUAAUAUAUUAUAAUAGUACUGGAAAAAAGUAUAAUGUCUUGGAUCAGAGUUAGACUUUGAUUCAAGGUUAAUAAUACCGUAAUAAAACCGACACAGGUAGAAAAGUUAAAUAUGAAAGUGAAUGGGAUAAUUCUGGUUAAUGAACUCGGCAAAAAGAACUCUGACGUUCGUCAAUAAAGAGUUAUAAAAAAAGAAGAUUAUACGACUGUUUACUAAAAACACAGCACUUUGCAAAAACAAUAGUUGUAGUAUAAAGUGUGAAUUCUGCCCAAUGUUUAAUAAUAAAUAAAUUUAUUAUAAUGGUAAAUUUACUAAAGUUAAAUAAAUGGCGGCUUUAUCUUGAGAGUCAUAAUGUAGCGAAAUUCAUUGGCUACUAAAUAUAGUCCUGCAUGAAUGGAGUAACGAUAUAAUAACUGUAUCAACCAGAAGCCCAGUGAAAUUGAAUUCGCGGUGAAGAUGCCGUGUACCUGAAGUAAGACGAGAAGACCCUAUGCAGCUUUACUAUAAUUAAAUAGAUUGUAUUAAUUUUUUUAAAUUUUAGUCGCUUAUUUUAAGCUCAUAAAGUAAUUAAUAUUAAUAAUAGUGAAAUACUUUUAUUUAAUCUAAUUAAUACUUAAUUUUAUAUAAAAACUAUAGAUUUUUAUUUUUAUAAAAAUAUCCCCCCGGGGACGGACUAUGUUCGAUCCCCGGGGUAAUAAUUAUUGAUUAAUAUCUAAUUAUUAAUUAUAUUUAUCUCAAUUCAGGGUUAUACUCUGGUUUUAUAUAAAUAUAUAUAGAUAAAAUGACAAUCUUUAAUUGAUAGUUUGAAUGGGGUGUUGAUUUCAUAUAAAAUAACUGAAUAUGUCCAAUUACAUAUUAUAGAAUUAUUGAACCCUUGGGACGAACUUUGUUCGAUUUUUUGAGGGAUUAUAAAAUUAAUGAAUUAGUCAUUAAAAUUGUUAAAAAAGAAUCCUGAAAGGGAUAUUCUUUAUUUUAGAAUAAUUUAAGUACAGUACAUUUGGCUUGAAACCAAAUUAUAACAAAGGAGUUAUAAAAUAAAUUAGUAUAAUAGUGGAUAACUGUGCUAUAAUUUAACACUUACAAGUGAAAAUGAUACGUAAGUAUGGUAUAAUGAACAGAUCAUGUUGAUAGUAAAAGUGAUCGAUAACGAAUAAAAGUUACGCUAGGGAUUUAUUAUCUAAGUCCCUAUAAAAUUGGGUGAAUUGCAUAGAUCAUUAUAUUAGACAUCUACCUCGUUUAAUAUAAUCAAUAUGCAGCGAAGCUUAUCUUAGUAUAUUAUCAUAAUCCUAUAGAUGAAUUAUAUUCUAUCUAUAGGAAGAUAAUAAAGAGAUUUGAACGUUCAACGACUAGAGAAUGAGUACUAACAAUAAUUUCUCCACGAGCGCCCAAAGUAUAAUUAUAAUAGAAUAAGAAAAAUUAAAAUAAAUAAAUAAAUAAAUAAAUGAAAAUUAAUAAAACACAAUUAAUAGGUUUAAGUCCUAAUAAUAAAUUAUUGAAAGAAUAUAAAAAACAAUUAAAUAAUAAUUUAUCUCAAAUACAAUUUGAAACAGCAAUAGGAUUAGUAUUAGGAGAUGUAUAUUUAAGAAAUCGUUAUAAUACAAAUUAUUGUAUACAAUUUGAAUGAAAAUCUAAAGAUUAUAUGGAUCAUAUAAAUAAUAUAUUUAAUGAAUAUAUUAUAUCACCUCCACAUAAAAAAGUAAGAAUAAAUAAGAAUAAUAAUGAAGUUAUAACUUGAGGAGCUCAAACAAUAAGUCAUGAAGCAUUUAAUUUUUUAGGUAAUUUAUUUUAUAAAAAUAAAAUAAAAACAAUACCUAAGAAUUUAGUUUCUGAUUAUGUUACAGCAAGAAAUUUAGCUUAUUGAUUUAUGGAUGAUGGAAGUAAAUAUGAUAAUAAUAAAAAUAAUACAACUAAUUUUGCUUUAUGUUUAAAUACACAAGGGUUUACCUUUGAGGAAAUAAAUCAUUUAGCAAAAGAAUUAAAUUUAAAAUUUGAUUUAAAAUGUAGUGUUAUUAAUAAUAAAAAUAAACCUGUAAUUAAAAUAGAUAGUAGUUCUUAUUUAACAUUUAAAAUAUUAAUAGAUAAAUAUAUAAUACCUUCAAUGAAGUAUAAAUUAUUAUUUAAAUCUUAAUCUAGAGUUAAACUUUAGAUUGGAAUAUAUAAUAUUAUUUUAAUAAAUAAAAUUUGUUAUAAUAUACUAUGAUAUAGUCUGAACAAUAAUGCGAAUUAUUGAAGUUAAAUAUAAACAAUUUAACGAUAACAAAAUAAAUUGAACAGGGUAAUAACAUGAGAGAGUAGAUAUUGUCAAUGUUGUUUGCCACCUCGAUGUCGACUCAACCUAUCCUAUUGGUAGCACACGCUGAUAAGGGUUUGACUGUUCGUCAAUUAAAAGGUUACGUGAGUUGGGUUUAAUACGUCGUGAGACAGUAUGGUUUCUAUCUGCUUUAGGGAAAUGUCAAUAAAGGAUUACAACUUAGUACGAAAGGAUUAGUUGUAAUUAAUCUAUGGUUUAACUAUUGCGUAUAAUUAAUUAUAUAUUUAUUAGGUUUAGAGUUAUACUCUUACCUCAGUAUAUAAUUUAAAAUAAAAUUAAAAUUAUAUGCAUCGUAGUCAAGCUAAAUUAAUAAUAAAUAAGUAUUGAAUGCAUAUAAAAUAUGAAAUUGACCUUUUGAGACAAUAAAUCUUCCCCCGGGGACGGACUAUGUUCGAUCCCCGGGGGUAUUUUAUCAAAGUUAUACUUUGAUAUUGUAAGACUCAGUAUUUACCUAUGGUUUAGUACUGAGCUAAUAUAUUAUUAUAGUAUACUACUAUAUAAAUAGGUUUAUAAUAAAAAACUCUUAACAGAGUAUUUAUAUA
rnacentral:rRNA from 1 species